CCUACGGGAGGCAGCAGUGAGGAAUAUUGGUCAAUGGGCGCGAGCCUGAACCAGCCAAGUCGCGUGAGGGAAGACGGUCCUAUGGAUUGUAAACCUCUUCUGUCGGGGAGCAAAAGACGCCACGUGUGGCGUUCCGAGAGUACCCGAAGAAAAAGCAUCGGCUAACUCCGUGCCAGCAGCCGCGGUAAUACGGAGGAUGCGAGCGUUAUCCGGAGUUAUUGGGUUAAAGGGGAGCGCAGGCGGAAGAUGAAGUCAGCGGUAAAAUUGAGAGGCCAAACCCCUUUGAGCCGUUGAAACUGGUUUUCUUGAGUGAGCGAGAAGUAUGCGGAAUGCGUGGUGUAGCGGUGAAAUGCAUAGAUAUCACGAAGAACUCCGAUUGCGAAGGCAGCAUACCGGAGCUCAACUGACGCUCAUGCACGAAAGUGUGGGUAUCGAACAGGAUUAGAUACCCUGGUAGUC
rnacentral:rRNA from 1 species